rnacentral:misc_RNA from 1 species
AUCGGAAGCCUCGAAUCUUCGACCUCAAACUUUGCAGCGAGGUUAGUACGACUUCAGAAUCGUAAAUUCCGAAGCAUGUGAUGUUCAAUGCUAGCAGUCGGGCACUUCAGAGUAGGUCUUGACUUUGGAAUCUCGGCGUGGCGAUUACCAGCGCAGGAGCGUCAAGGAACCAACAGCCGGCACGAGACUCCACCGAAGACGGAUCGGAACCAUCGAGGAGGGAACACUCGGACGACGCGCCCAUCGGGAGCCUCGAUUCUUCGACCUCAAACUUCGCAGCGAGGAAUCCCAGUGUGGCGAGCUCCAACCAGCGCAGGAGCGUCUGAGCACCAACGGCCGUCACUACACUACAAAUCCAAAGUGUAGAGACCACGGAAGGAGGACCGGAACCAUCGAGGAGGAACCCUCGGACACACGACGCGCCCGUCGGAAGCUUCCAAUCUUGGACCACUCAUUUCUCAGCGAGGAAUCCCGGCGUGGGGAGCACGAGCCCCAAUCAACC